UGCCAGCAGCCGCGGUAAGACGGAGGGGGCUAGCGUUGUUCGGAAUUACUGGGCGUAAGCGCGCGUAGGCGGCGCAUUAAGUCAGAGGUGAAAGCCCGGGGCUCAACCCCGGAAUUGCCUUUGAGACUGGUGUGCUUGAGUACGGAAGAGGUGAGAGGAAUUCCCAGUGUAGAGGUGAAAUUCAUAGAUACCAUGAGGAAUUCCAAUAGCGAAGGCAGCUUACUGGUCUUUGACUGACGCUGAGGCACGAAAGCGUGGGGAGCAAACGGGAUUAGAUA
rnacentral:rRNA from 1 species